CAGUAGCCGCGGGAAAACGAGGGGAGCUAGCGUUGUUCGGAAUUACUGGGCGUAAAGCGCGCGUAGGCGGCUUUUUAAGUCAGAGGUGAAAGCCCGGGGCUCAACCCCGGAAUUGCCUUUGAAACUGGAAAGCUAGAAUCUUGGAGAGGUCAGCGGAAUUCCGAGUGUAGAGGUGUAAUUCGUAGAUAUUCGGAAGAACACCAGUGGCGAAGGCGACUGACUGGACAAGUAUUGACGCUGAGGUGCGAAAGCGUGGGGAGCAAACAGGAUUAGAUACCCCCGUAGUCCCUGUCUCUUAUAC
rnacentral:rRNA from 1 species